AUCCGGCGAUCUGCGACAAAUAGC
rnacentral:siRNA from 1 species